rnacentral:rRNA from 1 species
GCAUAUCAAUAAGCGGAGGAAAAGAAACUAACAAGGAUUCCCCUAGUAACGGCGAGUGAAGCGGGAUGAGCUCAAAUUUAAAAUCUGGCAGUCUUCGAUUGUCCGAGUUGUAAUCUAGAGAAGCGUUUUCCGCGCUGGACUGUGUACAAGUUUCCUGGAUACGGAACAUCAUAGAGGGUGAGAAUCCCGUCCUUGACACAGACUCCCAGUGCUCUGUGAUGCGCUCUCGACGAGUCGAGUUGUUUGGGAUUGCAGCUCAAAAUGGGAGGUAAAUUCCUUCUAAAGCUAAAUAUUGGCGAGAGACCGAUAGCGAACAAGUACCGUGAGGGAAAGAUGAAAAGCACUUUGGAAAGAGAGUUAAACAGUACGUGAAAUUGUUAAAAGGGAAACGAUUGAAGUCAGUCGCGUCCGCUUGGACUCAGCCUUACCUCGGUAGGGUGCAUUUCCUUGUGGACGGGCCAGCGUCCAUGUUGUCCGUCGGAAAAGGUGCGUGGGAAUGUGGCUUCUUCGGGAGUGUUAUAGCCCAUGUUCGUAUACGGCGGGUGAUAUGGAGUGGUACAGCAUGCUUCGGCGGUGCUUGUGCUGGCAUAAUGGCUUUAAACGACCCGUCUUGAAACACGGACC